rnacentral:lncRNA from 1 species
AGUUAUACAUGUCGUGGUAUUUUAUUCAACUAACACAAAUAUUGGAACAAAGUCAAGCAUAAUAUUUAUACCUUAAAGAAACACCAAUAUCAUUCAAUCAUGUGAAAUUUUCAGUACUACAUCAAGCAAGUUGAGAAGGCAUUUUUGUCGAGGUCUGUAAUUCAACACAUACAAGAAACUUGUUGUUUUUAUUACAAAAGGGUGGUUCAUGCAACAAUUCAAUAUGAAGGUAAUAUCGGACACACUGCUAAUUUGGAGAAGAACAUAAUAUAGAAGAUAUGACAGAUCUUUCUACAAGUCAACUUCAAGUAAAACUUUUGAUCAACUAGUACCGAAGAUUAUUUGGUUUUUCAUCUCUAUAUAAUUGUCUUUAUGAGGGGGAGACACAAAUAUGCACUGCACUCUUUUUCCCUUCACCAUGGUUUUAUCCCACUGGGUUUUCCUGGUAAGGUUUUUAAUGAGGCAGUUCACACACAAAUGAUGAUGUACUCUUUUUCCUUCACUAGGUUUUUUUUUAGAGAAAGAAUAACCUUCAUGGACAUUCAAGGGGGAGUGUUAUGAAUAAUAUGUAAUGAAUGUCCAUUAUUGUAUAGGUUUUCUUGUCCCUUAAUUGUGUCCUAUAAAUAAGACCCCUUUGUUACAAUGUAAAGCACACUUGUGAAUAGAAUAAUAACAAUGGUCUAUUGCUUUCUCUUCUCUCUUUCUCUUCUCCUUCUAUAUUCUUGCUAUUCUUUAGAAAUAGUUCAUAACAAUAUAAUUAUUUUGUACUAAUAAGCGUAUAAUUAUAUUGGUGAUGUGAUUACAAUCAACUAGGUGUGAUUUUGUGAUUGAAAUGAAAUCACUUAUAUAUGGUUUGAUAUAAAUCUUACAGAAUGUGAAUUUCAAUCUUAAUUAUCUUUUUAGAUACACAAAGAUGUAUGAGUUGUAAGAUGCAUGAGAGCUUAUGAAUGGACGAACUCUUCUUUAUCUCAUUUGUUUUCUAGCUUUGAUGAUAUUCUAAAAUGUGUCUCUCAAGCCUUUGUAUUACCUUUAAAUGAUGGCUUAUUAAUAGUACUUUACAGAGUAAUCUUCCAACUAGUUUUUUACCUAUAUAUAGGAGUUAAGAUCAAGAACUAGAAGUUGAAACUUAUUUAUACUACAACAAAAUUGCUUUGGAGCGUCGGCUUAAAAAUCAAAAUACCAAAAUAAAAGACGCUACAUUAGUGUUAUUAGUAUCGAUUUAUAGUCUGUGUUGUGGCGGACGCUACAAUGUUAUUUGUGAUGGAAUUGAAUGAUAUCAUGUAAUUAUGAAGUAUACGACCAGCAUAAGGAUCUACAACAUUCAAGUACUCAUCAAUAUUCUCAUACAGGGUAAUAACCUCAAAUUGCAAACAAAAGAAAUAAAAAAAUUCAAAAAUUGAAAUUAUGCUCAAAUCUAGAAGAAGAAAAAAACAACCACGCACAAUCAUUUAUUCAAACUAUUUUAACCCUCUUCGUUUUCUCAUAAACUAAACAGAAUAUUAAAUAGAAAAUAUGGGAACAUGAUCAUGAAGCAUGAUAUAUAUA